GACGAACGCUGGCGGCGUGCUUAACACAUGCAAGUCGAGCGGUAAGGCCCUUUCGGGGGUACACGAGCGGCGAACGGGUGAGUAACACGUGGGUGACCUGCCCUCAGCUCUGGGAUAAGCCUGGGAAACUGGGUCUAAUACUGGAUAUGACUCCACGGUGCAUGUCGUGGGGUGGAAAGCCUUGUGCGGCUGAGGAUGGGCCCGCGGCCUAUCAGCUUGUUGGUGGGGUGAGGCCUACCAAGGCGACGACGGGUAGCCGGCCUGAGAGGGCGGACGGCCACACUGGGACUGAGACACGGCCCAGACUCCUACGGGAGGCAGCAGGUGGGGAAUUGUUCGCAAUGGGCGCAAGCCUGACGACGCAACGCCGCGUGAAGGAUGAAGGUCUUCGGAUUGUAAACUUCUGUUGA
rnacentral:rRNA from 1 species